rnacentral:rRNA from 1 species
UACGUAGGGGGCAAGCGUUGUCCGGAUUUAUUGGGCGUAAAGAGCGUGUAGGCGGCCUGACAGGUCUGCUGUGAAAACUCGAGGCUCAACCUCGAGAUGUCGGCGGAAACCGUCUGGCUAGAGUCCGGAAGAGGAGAGUGGAAUUCCUGGUGUAGCGGUGAAAUGCGCAGAUAUCAGGAAGAACACCUAUGGCGAAGGCAGCUCUCUGGGACGGUACUGACGCUGAGACGGCGAAAGCGUGGGGAGCGAACAGG